ACGUGGACACCUACCCUAUGGUGGGGGAUAACCCCGGGAAACUGGGGAUAAUACCCCAUAGACUAUGGAUGCUGGAAUGCUCUGUAGCCGAAAGGUCAGCCGCCAUAGGAUGGGUCUGCGGCCGAUUAGGUUGUUGUUGGGGUAACGGCCCAACAAGCCUGUAAUCGGUACGGGUUGUGGGAGCAAGAGCCCGGAGAUGGAUUCUGAGACACGAAUCCAGGCCCUACGAGGCGCAGCAGGCGCGAAAACUUUACAAUGCGGGAAACCGUGAUAAGGGAACUCCGAGUGCCCGUUAAAUCGGGCUGUCCAUCAGUUUAAAAAACUGGUGAAGAAAGGGCCGGGCAAGACCGGUGCCAGCCGCCGCGGUAAUACCGGCGGCUCGAGUGGUGGCCACUAUUACUGGGCUUAAAGCGUUCGUAGCUGGUUUGUUAAGUCUCUGGGGAAAUCUUCCGGCUUAACCGGAAGGCAUCUCAGGGAUACUGGCAGACUAGGGACCGGAAGAGGUGAGGGGUACUCCAGG
rnacentral:rRNA from 1 species